UACGUAGGGGGCAAGCGUUGUCCGGAUUUAUUGGGCGUAAAGAGCGUGUAGGCGGCCAGACAAGUCUGCUGUGAAAACUCGAGGCUCAACCUCGAGCUGUCGGUGGAAACCGUGUGGCUAGAGUCCGGAAGAGGAGAGUGGAAUUCCCGGUGUAGCGGUGAAAUGCGCAGAUAUCGGGAAGAACACCCGUGGCGAAGGCGGCUCUCUGGGACGGUACUGACGCUGAGACGCGAAAGCGUGGGGAGCGAACAGG
rnacentral:rRNA from 1 species